AUUUUUGGUAAGCAGAACUGGCGAUGCGGGAUGAACCGAACGCUGGGUUAAGGUGCCCAAGUCAACGCUCAUGAGAUCCCAGGAAAGGUGUUGGUUGAUACAGACAGCAGGACGGUGGCCAUGGAAGUUGGAAUCCGCUAAGGAGUGUGUAACAACUCACCUGCCGAAUCAACUAGCCCUGAAAAUGGAUGGCGCUCAAGCGUUGCACCUAUCCCCGGCCGCCGUGUGGAGUAGGCCAGUGCUGGUGACACGGCGUGUAGGAGGGCGCGGGGCUGUGUGUGUGUAUGCUGUGCAGGCUGGUGCGUGAGCCCAGCUGAAGCCGGCCCUGGUGCAGAUCUUGGUGGUAGUAGCAAUUAUUCAAAUGAGAACUUUGAAGGCCGAAGUGGAGAAGGGUUCCACGUGAACAGCAUUUGGACGUGGGUGAGUCGGUCCUAAGAGAUGGGCGAAAGCCUGGUUAGUAAGGGUGCAGAUGUGUCGUCCUUYAGGGGGCAGGCACGUCCGGGUUGUGUGUGUGGUUCUUCACGGGGCCAUGCGCGCUUUAGUGGCACCAGCUCUCGAAAGGGCAUCGGGUUAAUAUUCCCGAACCAGACACCUGGAUGCUGCCCGUGGACUGGCCUUCCUAGAAAUGGGGGGGUUGGGCUGCGGGUGGAGCACGGCAACGUAUAUGUAUGUGUGUAUACUCGGCGACACUUGCGAUAGCCCUGGGAAGAGUUGUCUUUUCUUCUUAACCGUACCAACCGUGUGCACAGCCCUGGAAGCAGUUUACCUUGAGAGAGGGCUGGAGGUCGGGUAAAGCGCUGCACUUAUUGCAGCGUCCAGUGCGCUGUCGAGAGUCCCUGAAAAGCUGAGUCAGGACUGGAUCAUGUUU
rnacentral:rRNA from 1 species